rnacentral:rRNA from 1 species
UACGUAGGGGGCAAGCGUUGUCCGGAUUUAUUGGGCGUAAAGAGCGUGUAGGCGGCCUGGUAGGUCAGCUGUGAAAACUCGAGGCUCAACCUCGGGACGUCGGCGGAAACCCUCUGGCUAGAGUCCGGAAGAGGAGAGUGGAAUUCCUGGUGUAGCGGUGAAAUGCGCAGAUAUCAGGAAGAACACCCGUGGCGAAGGCGGCUCUCUGGGACGGUACUGACGCUGAGACUCGAAAGCGUGGGGAGCAAACAGG